GGGGAUUUUCUAAAAAACAGGCACUCAGCCUUCAAUUCCCACUGCAAGCCCUGGGUGAGCCACGGGGCAAUGGCUGCACUGACCUUCAGCAAGCAGCCAGGAAGGACCUCAACAGCUAAGAGGCCCCUGCAGGCCCGCGUGGGUCGGCCCUCGGACCGGACAGCCUGUGCUCCAGCAUGAUCCUGAGAGGCGAGGCCCGGCCUCCGAACCGCGGAGAGUCUUGCGCUUGGAGGAAGAUCUACUGGACCUCUGGUGUCCUGAGGCCCCUGAGGGUUGAGGGGGCAUUUUUAGCCAUGCGAGCUUUGAGUUUCAUUUUUGUUUUUAAAAGUACAGGACGCAGUAACAACUCAAGUCCCAAGAGCACGGCAGAGUCAACGUGCUGGGGUGGCCAGGCAGGAUCUCCCAGACACCUGCAUCCGACUCAGACUGUACGUAUUUACUGGAGACGCACGACACCCUAGACACCACCGAGGGGAGCGGUGGGCAGGCCUCAGAGCGGCAUCCUCGGGGACAGGGGAACCAAGGAUGGGCCCGGGAAAUUUCCAGUCCGCUCAAGUGUGACGAAGGGGAUAGGAGCAAUGGUGAGUUUCAGGGAACUGGGGAUCUGGCCUCCAAGGUGGGGCUCAGGGCUGGGGCUGGCGGGCGCCACACGGCCACG
rnacentral:lncRNA from 1 species